rnacentral:tRNA from 2 species
GGGCUGGUGGCUUAGUGGUAUAGCGCUGCAUUCGCAAUGCAGAAGUCGAGGGUUCAAUUCCCUCCCAGUCCACUA